rnacentral:rRNA from 1 species
UAAAAAUUUAAUUUGUAACAUUUGAGUAGUAUUAGUUAAGUUCUUGAAAUUUAAAAGAUUUGGCGGUAUUUUAGUCUAUUCAGAGGAACCUGUUUUGUAAUCGAUAAUCCACGAUGGAUCUUACUUAAGUUUGUUUUAAUAGCUUAUAUGUCGUUGUUUAUAGAAUAUUUUUUAAAAAUAAUAAUUUUCUUAAGUUUAAAUUAAAAAUUAUAUCAGAUCAAGAUGUAGCUUAUACUUAAGUAUAUAAUGGGUUACAUUUUUUAUAUUAAUGGCUGUAUGAUUGUAAUAUUAUACUAAAAUUGGAUUUGAAAGUAAAUUUAUAGAGAUAAUAAUU